ACGAACGCUGGCGGCGUGCUUAACACAUGCAAGUCGAACGGAAAGGCCCUGCUUUUGUGGGGUGCUCGAGUGGCGAACGGGUGAGUAACACGUGAGUAACCUGCCCUUGACUUUGGGAUAACUUCAGGAAACUGGGGCUAAUACCGGAUAGGAUCUCCUGCUGCAUGGUGGGGGUUGGAAAGUUUCGGCGGUUGGGGAUGGACUCGCGGCUUAUCAGCUUGUUGGUGGGGUAGUGGCUUACCAAGGCUUUGACGGGUAGCCGGCCUGAGAGGGUGACCGGCCACAUUGGGACUGAGAUACGGCCCAGACUCCUACGGGAGGCAGCAGUGGGGAAUAUUGCACAAUGGGCGGAAGCCUGAUGCAGCAACGCCGCGUGCGGGAUGACGGCCUUCGGGUUGUAAACCGCUUUCGCCUGUGACGAAGCGUGAGUGACGGUAAUGGGUAAAGAAGCACCGGCUAACUACGUG
rnacentral:rRNA from 1 species